CUGAUGGCGGGCACCUGGAGUAGGGUGUGGGCCUGCCUAAGUGGAUACACCUGUGCUGAGAGACUGGGCUUAUAAGGGUGGUGUCUCGGGGAGGCCAGUAGAGUAGAGAAGCAGAGAGAAUGUGAGCGAAGGAGAGGCGGAAAGAAAGGCAAAGACCACCAGAGAAGGCGGGAGAGCCCAGAAAGCACCCCUGCCAGCAGUGUACCUGGUAAAUCCCAGUAGAAGCCUGCAAAAGCCACUGAGGGCUCCUGGACUCCUCCUUCACCCGUCUGGUCGAAUCAUUGAGAACCUGCUCCGUCCCUUCCUGCCGUUACAUCUAGCCACAACAGAAUGGAGCCUCCAGUAUCCUUGAGGAUAAAGGAGGAUGAAAUAAGAAACAAGAUUUCGAAGGCUACAAUAUUGACUUAGCAAAGCUGGCAGCAGGGAAAGUGAAGACACGACUCCAUUUAUUCCAGUGAACACCCCAAAGGUCAGAAGGCACCAGGGACCUACUAUCACAACCAGUCCAGACUACAGCAGUUCCUGGAAUUGGAGCUGCUAUCCAGUAGCCCAAAUGUGGAGCAUCAUAGGUCCACAUUAAAUGACCGUUAUGGUCUUUGACGAUUCCCCGACCACGAUUUACCCAGACACCUAAAAAGAAAGAUAAUUACAUAAUCCCUACUGGUACCACACAGUAAUCUGGACAGUAAAAACAUCUCUAACUUAAGUGGAAAAGUUGAGAAAUACAGAAAGAUGAGAAAAUGAUCACAAUCUCACCACAGAUCUUUGCACUGUGUUCGUGAACUUGCUAAUGGGAUGUCGUGUUACUACCAUGAAACGUGUUGCUACCAUGAAAGUGCUUUGCAAAGCCUGUAUCACAACUGACCUUUGCCAAAGAUGCUGCUUUCCAUAGUGAAUGGACUUUGGAGUCAGUCAAGAUCCAUCUCUGCCAUUUCCUAGACAUGUGGCCUUAAGUUUCUCACUGCUCAAAGUUCACUUUCUCAUUUGUAAACUGGGAGAAUAGUAACUACUUUGAGGUAGUAAGAUGAAAUAAUGCAAAUUGCAUACCCAGAAUAGUGUGUGGUUUUUCCUUAAUAUCAUUAAUAAAAACUAUCACUCCACAAUUGGAGACAACGCCACAAAUACUAGGUCCAUUGCUAAGAAAUAGCACAUAAAGACUAAUGAUGCUGUGUAUUGGCAUGAACCCGGUUUUACUCAAAAUCAUACACUAAGAACUGUGUCAGCUAAAAAAUCCCAGUCAGCACAUUGAUUGAGCCUUACAUAUUGCUACUAAAUUAUUAUUAUGCUUUAUCUAAUACUGUUAAUGAAAUUGCUUUUGUACCAUAACAGACAUAUUUAGUACAACUAGAACUACGGUAAUAAUUGCCUAGUCCCAGGGAAGAUAAAAUCAAGAACUUCGUUUUCUGAUCCUUUCAAGAAUCUAAAAAUAAGCAUAAUGUAUUUUCUUUAAUAUGCUAAUUAUAACCAUAAUAUGAACUAAAAUGUAUUGAACUAUAUAUAGUAACCAGCCAUUGAAAGCCACCUAAGUGUCCAUUGACUGACGAAUAAAGAUGUGCUGUACAGAUGGUGUACUUAUAUGUAAAAUAUAGAGAAACCAAACAAAGGGUAAGACAAAAACAAACUUUCAAACCAACUCUUGAAAGACGGCCAUAGAACUGAGACUUGGGGUGGGAGAGGAAAACAGGAGGGGGAAAGCACACAAUGGACUCUGCUGGAGAAAUACAGUGCUUUGGUAGUGGGUACACUGUAGUGAUUACACCUAAUGGGGGCAAUCCUAUACUUCCACAACACUGACAAACCAAUGAUACCUCAGUAAAAAAAUUUAAGAUAUGGUACAUAUAUACAAUGGAAUACUAUGCAGCUAUUAAAAAGAA